AUAUAUUACAAUCUUUCUGCAAGGGAGAAGCCAAUUCAAAGAUAGUCUCUUGGUAAAAAUAGAAAUAAUUAUUUGCCUAAACACACAAAAAAUCAUUUGGUAUAAGGUCAUUAGACUCAAAUCUGGUAGUCAGUAGGAAUAUUGGUGGCUAGUAGUUAAAUAUAUAUUGUGGUAGCCAAUUGUCCAAGAUGGUCUCCAAUGAUCUCUACCCCUGGUUCACAUAUUCAUGUAUAGUUCCUUCCCACAUAGUACUAGGAUAAGUUUGUGUCAAUGGAAUACAGCAGAAGUGAUGGCAUGUCAGUGAUGAGAUGAGAUUAUAAAGGAUACUUCCACCACUCUCUCUUUUAGAUCACUUACUCUGGGGGAUGCUAGCUGCCAUUGGCCAGGCUCACCAGUGAGGAACUAAAGCCUAUAUAUAACCAGAUGAGUGAAUUUGGAAGUGGAUUCUUCAGUCCUACUUGAGUCUUGAGAUAAUUGUAGCCUCAGCUAAAACUUGAUUGCUAUUCACAAGAGACCCUGUGCCAGAAUCACCCAGCUAAGUCACUCCCAGAUUCCUAAUCCUCAUAAAUGGUGUGAAAUAAUAAAUGUUUGUUGUUUUAACCCACUAUGCUUUGGAGGAUAGUUUGUUAUGCGGCAGUAGAUAACUAAUACACACAUUUUUAAAAUGAUUACAGUACCAAAGUUUCUGGGAUUUAGAAAAUAUAAUUUGUACCAAUAAUUAGAAGAAGAUGAAGAGUGGAAGGUUAUCAGAAUAUUAGAACAUUCAGAAAUACUGUAUGUUUUACUUUGUUGGAAUCUAGAUACCUGUACAGGCAAAAGAAUAUAAGAUUGCUUUAGAAACAUUGCAUUAUAUACAUCCUUUCUCAUGUCCUCAACAAAUAUAAUUAUGCUGGUUUAAACAUUUUAGAACUUCUUUUCUUUCUUCUUUUAUUUUUUCCAAAUUAAUAUUCAUGUAGAAACUCAUCUGAGGCUGACAAUCUGGAUUCUAGUUUACAAUUUAUAGCAAUACAGAAUACCUAUUUUUAAUGAUGCUUAACAAUCUUUGGGGACAGGUCCUAGCACAUGUGCUGUGAAUGUUUUUUUCCAAGACAAUGAUAACUAUGUCAAUUUCAAACAGGAAUGUGUUAGAAUGGGGCUGUGUGCCAGUAUUUGUUGAAAAAUUUAAAACAAUCAUGAAUCAAUGACCAAAAAGAUAAGAUUUAAAGGAAACUGGUCUGACAGAAAACUACUCUCUCAUAUUAUUACAUAUUUUUCUUAUAUAUGCUAAAAUUUUAUUUUGAGAUUAUGUUGUUUUAAAUAAAUCAAUAUAUUUUAAAAAUUAAUUUGGUAAUUCUUACAUUAUUAAAGUUAGACCAUGUAGAUAUCACAAGGAACAUAAAAAAAUUCUUGAGUUACGAAUAGAAGUACAAUAACUACGAAACUCAAAGAACAAGGGAUUUACGAGAGCUCAGUAGCCUCAAAAAUCCUAAAAUGGAACACAGAUAUUUUUCAAACACUAGGAAUCAUUCAGUCUAAAGUUUUUAUUUACAGAUGUGAACCCAAGUAAUAAUAAUGGUAGAUAAUAUUUUACUGAAGGCUCAUAUAUAUCAAGCAUACCUACUCACCUGAUCACCCAUCCCUAUUUCUGAUUUUCUCAAUCUUACUUUACCCUUUUCUUUACAAAAGCGAUUAUCACUUUCUAAUAUACCAUAUAAUUUACAUAUUUAUUAGAUUAGUGUCAGGUUAAGUGAUUUACCUACUUUCAUACAGCUUGAGGUGGGAUUAGAAUCUGGAUUUCUGGCCAGCCUGGAUGGUUCAGCGGUUUAGUGUCACCUUCAGCCCAAGGCCUGAUCCUGGAGACAUGGGAUCAAGUCCCACGUCGGGCUCCCUGCAUGGAGCUUGCUUCUCCUUCUGCCUGUGUCUCUGCCUCUCUCUCUCUCUCUCUCUCUCUCUCUCUCUGUGUGUGUGUCUCUCUCAUGAAUAAAUAAAAUAAGAUCUAAAAAAAAAAAUCUGGAUUUCUUUAUAUUCAUUUGAGUCAAUCUAGUCAACAAAUACUUAAGAGCCUAUCAUGCAUAACAGAAUUCAUCCAACAGAUCCAAUUGCUCCUUAUUUUAUAGGGAAUAUACUAUUUUUUAGAAGAAAAAUGCUUUAGAAGUGAUUCUUUAAGUUUUCAUUGUCUGAGAGCUUAUUUAGAAUAUGAAUGCAUAUUGUGAACUAUUUUGUUACUUGAAUACAUUUUUUAUUCUAUUACUCUCUUUCCUAAGUAUACAGAACUGUAUGUAAUGAAAUGUCCCUUGCAGUAUCAGUUCUUUUAUCUUGAAAUGUUGUCACGUCUAUAGUUAACUUUGUGAUUAGGAAAUGGAAUUCAGGCACAGUAAAGACCUGUUUGAUUUGUGACUCACGGUGUAUAGACAUUGGGUGGCUUGAUGCCUCUGGCAGUUCAGACCUGUAAUGACAAAUCAGUGCUAGAAUAAUGAUUUUUUUUCUCCUCAUUUUGAAAUCCUACAUCAAAUGAAUAAGUAUCCUUAAAUAGUUUAACUUAGGUAGGCUGAUAUGGCAAAACAAGAUUUGGGAUUAUGCUGUUAACACACCUUUCCCAUAGUGUUCACUACAAGCUCACAUUUAACCAACUACAUUUUGAUAUCAAUUUUUCCCAAUGAUUUAAUCUUAAAAUUCAACCCUAAAUAUCAAAAGUGUUUGUAUGCCAAAGUGUUAAAGUACAUUUAUAUAUUUCAUAAUUACUUUUCAUUUAAUCCAGUUAAACUUCAGAGUCUUAGUCUGAGCUCAAGGCAUUGAUUCCUUCAUUCCCAAAAUAUUUAUAGAGCAUCUAUUUUAAAAAGCACUUCAAUAGGCUCUGUCAUGUAACUUAGAGUCCAUGAGGGGUGACAGAGGAUUACAUAAACAAUUAAAUACAGUGUGAUAAUGACAUCUGAGAGGAAAACCCUAUAUGAUCUAAGAACACUGAGAAUAAUUGAAGGAGGACAUGAAAGUCAGCUAAAUGUAGUGGGUUAAGACAUCACCAGAAAGCAAGGAACAAUUUUUCAGGGCAAGAGGACAGUUUGUGUAAAGGCUAGGAAGGGAGAGAGAAAAUAGUGCACUGGAGGAACUGAAAGUUCAAUGUGACUGGAGUAGGGGUAGAAGGGUCAAGCUUAAAGAUGAGACUGGAGAGGAACCCAAAGAUCAAGGGCCAGUACACCUAGAAUCCUACAAGCAAGGCUAAAGAUUUUGAAACUAAUCUUAGAGCCAUAGAG
rnacentral:lncRNA from 1 species